rnacentral:rRNA from 1 species
GCGCUGACGAGUGGCGGACGGGUGAGUAACGCGUAGGAAUCUGCCUUAUAGUGGGGGACAACGUGGGGAAACCCACGCUAAUACCGCAUACGCCCUACGGGGGAAAGGAGGGGAUCUUCGGACCUUUCGCUAUGAGAUGAGCCCGCGUACGAUUAGCUAGUUGGUAGGGUAAAGGCCUACCAAGGCUACGAUCGUUAGGUGGUCCGAGAGGACGAUCACCCACAAUGGAACUGAGACACGGUCCAUACUCC